CUGAGGGAGCUUGCUCACUAGGAACCCUAGCAUCCGCCCGCGAGAUGCCUCAAGAUCUCAUCCACUAUAAUGGCAAACGAGAUUUUUCAGGAGAGAUUUAUCCCAGGCCAAUCUUGGAUUGCCAUAUGAUGAAUCACAGGGAAUCUCGAAGCAUUUUGCUAAAUGCUCCUUGGUAAUGGGAGUGCACAGUUAAUGACAGCAGCAAUC
rnacentral:lncRNA from 1 species